GCAUUUAGAAAAAAACACACGACUUAUCCUAACCAAGAAGUGGUGAAGUCUACCAUCCAUGGUUAGCUGAUAAACAAGUGAUGCGAGAAAUAGGAGUCAUCGACAGCCAAAGUCUCCAAAUCUGCGAUGGGCGUGAAGUGUAAUAUAACAAAACUUAACUUUUAUGCUAGUGCCACUACUAACUUACAAAUACCAUGAGGACAUUCAUUUU
rnacentral:lncRNA from 1 species